AUUUUAAUGUAUAAACUCUUUAAAAAAAUUACAUUGAAGAUGUAAUAUUUUGUUGGAGUA
rnacentral:tRNA from 1 species